rfam:Salmo salar isolate Sally breed double haploid chromosome ssa24, whole genome shotgun sequence.
UGCAUUCACUACUGUAAAUCGCUCUGGAUAAGAGUGUCUGCUAAAUUACUAAAA